GAUGAACGCUGGCGGCGUGCCUAAUACAUGCAAGUCGAGCGAAUGGAUUAAAAGCUUGCUCUUAUGAAGUUAGCGGCGGACGGGUGAGUAACACGUGGGUAACCUGCCCAUAAGACUGGGAUAACUCCGGGAAACCGGGGCUAAUACCGGAUAACAUUUUGAACCGCAUGGUUCGAAAUUGAAAGGCGGCUUCGGCUGUCACUUAUGGAUGGACCCGCGUCGCAUUAGCUAGUUGGUGAGGUAACGGCUCACCAAGGCAACGAUGCGUAGCCGACCUGCGAGGGUGAUCGGCCACACUGGGACUGAGACACGGCCCAGACUCCUACGGGAGGCAGCAGUAGGGAAUCUUCCGCAAUGGACGGAAGUCUGACGGAGCAACGCCGCGUGAGUGAUGAAGGCUUUCGGGUCGUAAAACUCUGUUGUUAGGGAAGAACAAGUGCUAGUUGAAUAAGCUGGCACCUUGACGGUACCUAACCAGAAAGCCACGGCUAACUACGUGCCAGCCGCCGCCGUAA
rnacentral:rRNA from 1 species